rnacentral:rRNA from 1 species
UACGGGGGGGGCAAGCGUUGUUCGGAAUUACUGGGCGUAAAGGGCGCGUAGGCGGCCACCGCAAGUCGACUGUGAAAUCUCCGGGCUUAACCCGGAAAGGUCAGCCGAUACUGCGGGGCUAGAGUGCAGAAGGGGCAACUGGAAUUCUCGGUGUAGCGGUGAAAUGCGUAGAUAUCGAGAGGAACACCUGCGGCGAAGGCGGGUUGCUGGGCUGACACUGACGCUGAGGCGCGAAAGCGUGGGGAGCAAACAGG